AUUGAACGCUGGCGGCAUGCUUUACACAUGCAAGUCGAACGGCAGCGAGGAGAAGCUUGCUUCUCUGUCGGCGAGUGGCGAACGGGUGAGUAUAGCAUCGGAACGUGCCAAGUAGUGGGGGAUAACCAAACGAAAGUUUGGCUAAUACCGCGUAAGCUCCAAGGAGGAAAGUAGGGGACCUAAAUAAGGCCUUACGCUAUUUGAUCGGCCGAUGUCGGAUUAGCUAGUUGGUGGGGUAAUGGCUCACCAAGGCAAUGAUCCGUAGCGGGUCUGAGAGGACGAUCCGCCACACUGGGACUGAGACACGGCCCAGACUCCUACGGGAGGCAGCAGUGGGGAAUUUUGGACAAUGGGGGAAACCCUGAUCCAGCCAUGCCGCGUGUAUGAAGAAGGCCUUAGGGUUGUAAAGUACUUUUGUUAGGGAAGAAAAGCUAGUUUUUAAUAAAAAUUAGUGAUGACGGUACCUAAAGAAUAAGCACCGGCUAACUACGUGC
rnacentral:rRNA from 1 species